GGUGCUGUGGCUUAGUUGGUCAAAGUGCCUGUCUAGUAAACAGGAGAUACUGGGUUCAAAUCCCAGCAGUGCCU
rnacentral:tRNA from 1 species